GUGGGCUUACGACCUCGAUGUUGGAUCAGGGUAUCCCAGUGGUGCAGCCGCUACUAAAGGUUCGUUUGUUCAACGAUUAAAACCCUACGUGAUCUGAGUUCAGACCGGAGCAAUCCAGGUCAGUUUCUAUCUAUAAAGGGCUUUUUCUAGUACGAAAGGACCGAAAAAGCAUGGCCAAUGACCAAUUAUGCCAUACAAAUUACUUAUGUUUUCAACUUAACUAGAAAUAAACCUAACAUUAACCUCAAAAAUAGAGAAGUUAACGUAGCAAAACCCGGCCCUGCAA
rnacentral:rRNA from 1 species